rnacentral:rRNA from 1 species
AGAGUUUGAUCCUGGCUCAGGACGAACGCUGGCGGCGUGCUUAACACAUGCAAGUCGAACGAUGAACCACUUCGGUGGGGAUUAGUGGCGAACGGGUGAGUAACACGUGGGCAAUCUGCCCUUCACUCUGGGACAAGUCCUGGAAACGGGGUCUAAUACCGGAUAACACUCCUGCAGGCAUCUGUGGGGGUUGAAAGCUCCGGCGGUGAAGGAUGAGCCCGCGGCCUAUCAGCUUGUUGGUGAGGUAGUGGCUCACCAAGGCGACGACGGGUAGCCGGCCUGAGAGGGCGACCGGCCACACUGGGACUGAGACACGGCCCAGACUCCUACGGGAGGCAGCAGUGGGGAAUAUUGCACAAUGGGCGAAAGCCUGAUGCAGCGACGCCGCGUGAGGGAUGACGGCCUUCGGGUUGUAAACCUCUUUCAGCAGGGAAGAAGCGAAAGUGACGGUACCUGCAGAAGAAGCGCCGGCUAACUACGUGCCAGCAGCCGCGGUAAUACGUAGGGCGCAAGCGUUGUCCGGAAUUAUUGGGCGUAAAGAGCUCGUAGGCGGUCUGUCGCGUCGGAUGUGAAAGCCCGGGGCUUAACCCCGGGUCUGCAUUCGAUACGGGCAGACUAGAGUGUGGUAGGGGAGAUCGGAAUUCCUGGUGUAGCGGUGAAAUGCGCAGAUAUCAGGAGGAACACCGGUGGCGAAGGCGGAUCUCUGGGCCAUUACUGACGCUGAGGAGCGAAAGCGUGGGGAGCGAACAGGAUUAGAUACCCUAGUAGUCC